UGGGAAUGUUGGACAAUGGGAGCAAUCCUGAUCCAGCUACCCCGCGUGAGUGAUGAAGGCCUUCGGGUCGUAAAGCUCUUUUAGUUGGGACGAAGGGAAACUUGACGGUACCAACAGAAAAAGCACCGGCUAACUCUGUGCCAGCAGCCGCGGUAAUACAGAGGGUGCAAGCGUUGUUCGGAAUCAUUGGGCGUAAAGCGCGUGUAGGCGGCCAUCUAAGUCUGGUGUGAAAGCCCGAAGCUUAACUUCGGAAGUGCACUGGAUACUGGAAGGCUAGAGGGUGAGAGAGGAGAUUGGAAUUCAUGGUGUAGGGGUGAAAUCCGUAGAUAUCAUGAGGAACAUCAGUGGCGAAGGCGAAUCUCUGGCUCGUUUCUGACACUGAGACGCGAAAGCGUGGGGAGCAAAC
rnacentral:rRNA from 1 species